UACGAAGGGGGCUAGCGUUGCUCGGAAUUACUGGGCGUAAAGCGCACGUAGGCGGCUUUCUAAGUCGGGGGUGAAAUCCUGGAGCUCAACUCCAGAACUGCCUUCGAUACUGGAAAGCUCGAGUCCGGGAGAGGUGAGUGGAACUGCGAGUGUAGAGGUGAAAUUCGUAGAUAUUCGCAAGAACACCAGUGGCGAAGGCGGCUCACUGGCCCGGUACUGACGCUGAGGUGCGAAAGCGUGGGGAGCAAACAGGAUUAGAAC
rnacentral:rRNA from 1 species